UAAGUGAGCCAUAAGGCCUUCUUCAAGGUC
rnacentral:piRNA from 1 species